rnacentral:rRNA from 1 species
GACGAACGCUGGCGGCGUGCUUAACACAUGCAAGUCGAACGGAAAGGCCCUGCUUUUGUGGGGUGCUCGAGUGGCGAACGGGUGAGUAACACGUGAGUAACCUGCCCUUGACUUUGGGAUAACUUCAGGAAACUGGGGCUAAUACCGGAUAGGAGCUCCUGCUGCAUGGUGGGGGUUGGAAAGUUUCGGCGGUUGGGGAUGGACUCGCGGCUUAUCAGCUUGUUGGUGGGGUAGUGGCUUACCAAGGCUUUGACGGGUAGCCGGCCUGAGAGGGUGACCGGCCAAAGUGGGACAGGGGUGCGGCCAGGAGGCAAUGGGGGGGAAGGGGGGGGGAAUUUUGCGAAAGGGGCGGAGGGAGGGAGGAAGGACGCCGGGGGGGGAAAGGCGGCUUUGGGGUUGUAAACCGUUUGCGCCUAGGACGACGCGUGAGGGAGGGAAAUGGUGAAAAAAACACCGCUAAAGACGGG